UACGGAGGGUGCAAGCAUUAAUCGGAUUUAUUGGGCGUAAAGGGCGCGUAGGCGGACAGAAAAGUCAGAUGUGAAAUCCCGAGGCUCAACCUCGGAACAGCAUUUGAAACUCUUUGUCUAGAGGAUAGAAGGAGAAAACGGAAUUCCACAAGUAGCGGUGAAAUGCGUAGAUAUGUGGAAGAACACCGGUGGCGAAGGCGGUUUUCUAUUUUAGACCUGACGCUGAGGCGCGAAAGCAAGGGGAUCAAACAGG
rnacentral:rRNA from 1 species